rnacentral:rRNA from 1 species
UACGUAGGGCGCAAGCGUUAUCCGGAAUUAUUGGGCGUAAAGAGCUCGUAGGCGGUUCGUCGCGUCGGCUGUGAAAUCCCGAGGCUCAACCUCGGGUCUGCAGUCGAUACGGGCGGACUGGAGUUCGGCAGGGGAGACUGGAAUUCCUGGUGUAGCGGUGAAAUGCGCAGAUAUCAGGAGGAACACCGGUGGCGAAGGCAGGUCUCUGGGCUGACACUGACGCUCAUGCACGAAAGCGUGGGGAGCAAACAGG